CCGCGGCACCAGCUGCCGGGGCCUGCUGGCCUCCGAUGGAUCUGUGCUCGCAGCCUGCCUCUCUUGUGCAGCCAGACAGACCGCACCGGCAGAAGCUUGGCAAAAGCGUGGGCCGCGCUCGUUCUCGUUUUGGAAGAAUUAACUGAAAAGCCUCCCUAGCUGCCCUUUGAGUGUUAUGGAGCGGAGCCAUGAGAACAUAUCAAAAGCAAAGACGGGUUUGAACUGAAGACACAGCCAUCAAUAAAACUAACUCUGUACAAAACCUGGGAAAAUCCAGAGAGAUUUCCUGAAACGAAUUGCACAAACCAAACACCCUGCGGCUGAGGAAGUUUCUGCUGUACCCAUGCGUUAUGAAUCCACAAAUAUCACGGCAAAGAUGGUGCAUUAACUGCUGCUAAUGAGUGCAAACAUGAGUAUAAACACUGGGAAAUACUGAUGGUGUUUAAAAACAAACAAAAACCAGAGUGAAACAGAAAAACUCUCUCCCUUCGCAGGACCUGUCUGGACAGGCUGCCAAAUCCCUGCCUGCAGCAGCUCCCUAUGGGAGCCUGAUCCCUCUUUGUCCCAUCCCUCUCCAAGGCAGCAGCUCAGACACCCUGCCUGACUUCACUGAUUCCCUCUCUGCCACCACUUGAGAUGCAAGUGAGUGGCAGAGGGAGGAUUGGGGGUCCUUUUUAUUUCCCUUGUGUCUGCUAGCUGGGUGAUUCAGUACAUUCACUUUUCUUUUAGUCCCUGGAUGUUAGCCCUGCUGUUCUCUAUAGGAUAUUCUUCAUUUCUACUUGAAACUGGUUUUUUUCCUCCUUCAUGUUAUUACUAUUAUCUCAACUGGGUUAGAUGAAAAACUGUUUUCGUACACUGAGGAAAUAUCUCUUUCCCAACAGUUUAGUUGCUACCCCCACAACAGACUGGAGUUUGCUCUUGUGGAUUUUAGUUGUCUUUUCUCCCCAGAGUCAUCCUGUAGAUGCUUGCAUUGUCCCUAAAUUGCAUUGUGACUUUAUUUUUUUUCUUUUCUCCUUACUGUCCCCAUGAUAUGGCAAUAAGUUUAAGGGACACUAUUUUUUUUUUUUUUUCCCUUCUACAUCUGCCAUAAUGACUCAUACAGCUCCUGAAUCUAUAGAUGGUGCAUUUUUCACCCCCUAAGUAGGACAUUCACGACAACCUUUCUCCUGACAGCAGACCACUGUGCUAAGCAGCAAUCUGUCAUCUGCUGCUUUGGGCAGCCGUCCUGAAGAAGUGCUCUUGUACACGCUGGGAGCAAGGACAGUGAUGUGCAACUGUUGGGAUGUAUCCUACAUGGGGUUUGUCCUGUGGAGAGCUCUUCUGUGUGCCCAUGUUUCUGAGCACUCUGGGAUGUGCUGGCCUUGCUGGGAGAUGCAGCUGCUCAGGUGUGGGGCUGCCCUCAGACUUGGCCAGCAUGGAUGCAUCUGUCAGGAUGAUGCAGUUGAUAAGGACAGAAAUAAACCCAUGAAUCAAGUGGUGUUGGGAAGUCUGCAACAGGCUCUGGGAAGGAAACUCACCCCAUAGCACUGCAGUAAUGGCUUAAACCAGGUGUGAGUAAAAAUCAGAUGUGACCUCACCUGAAAACGUGUAAGGUACAAAGAACUCUGGUUCUUUCGUCAUCCUUUAGUCUCCAUUGCCUCUACUAGGACUGGCCCAAAAUCUGUCUGAAAACUCUCUUUCUUUGAGUCUCUUUCUGAAAACUACACAGCUGCCCAAUUACAUGAUGGGACACCUAUGGACAUGCCUAUUUUCAUGUACUUCUAGGUCUUUGCAGGACCAAAAUUCUCUCUAGCACUUUCUUACCAUAAAGUUGUUGCACAGUUUUGGUAGAUUGUAAACCAUUAAUCUAAUGAGGUCUAAUUACAAAAGGAAGUAAUUUUAAUAUGUGUUGAGUGAAAUCCCCCUCCCCUAUGUUACACAUUUCUAGAUUUACUGCACCCAGUUUUCAAGUUUCUCUGAUUUCUUCUUUUUUUUUUUUUUACUAUGUGACAAUUUAACCAAGAAUGCAAUGCACUUCAGAUUGCCUACCCUUAUUAAAAAUCAGUAGAUUUUUCACCCACACUUUUUUUCCCUUGCUUAUCUGCAGAGCAAAUGCAGACCUAUUUGCUUAAAUCAAGACUUGCAAUUCACCAGAACAUCAAAAGAGCAGCCCCUAUCAGUUCAGUUGCUUUUAUUAUUGCAGCUUGUCUCCAUGAUCUCCACUGCGUUCUUGCUGCAAAAGGAGGUCUCUUUAUCACUUUCCUUCUGCUCUUAGUGGAAUCUGCCUUAGCAAUCAGAAUAAUAAUGAUUUAUCUCCAAGGGAAUGUGAAUGCAAGCCAAGUUCCCUUGGUAUAGGGAAAUCAGUUUGGUAUUGUUUACUCAUCCCCUGUGGAUUCACCAGAUGGCAUCAGACAGCAUAAUUUGGAUUCUGUGCUCAAAAGAGAGGGAAGGCUGGAGCUGCAGGAAUUGGUAAUGUGAAAUUACCAGGAACAGUUCUGAUCUUUUUUUUUGAGGAUAUGGCAUGUCUUUCAUCUUUGUUAUAGAACAUUCAAGGAACCAAAUUGUAGCACACCUGGACUCUUAACAUCUUAAGUAAACCAUUUUUAGCAUGGUCAUUUAUGAAUUAUUUUGGCUGCUCUUCCAAUAACUGCUUCCUCUGGAGAGGAUGCUUUUCCUGGGCUGGGUUGAAGGUCCUGAGCAGGUCAGCAGAGAAGAGGCAGUGGGAAAUGAGGUGUUGCAGCUGUUUUCUUCUAGGCCAGCACUGCUUCAGUUCUGUAAAUAGAGGAUUUAGGUUUCUGUUCUUUAAAUAUCCCAAGCAUAAAUUAUUCACUCAAAAUACAUUUGUCAAAGAAGAAGCACUAGGAAAACAGAAGUGGAAAGCCUUAGCAGAGUCUGAAUGAGCUACAGCUUUACUGACCACAGCACAAAGCACUCAGUGUAGCCUAACGUCCCAGCCCUGAGGGAUGGAGAAGAUGAUCUAAUCAUUCUUGUCCAUCUUGUUUCUACAGUUUUAUUAUUUGAAUUAUUUUCAAGCCAGAUACUAAACGGACAUAAGCUUUUCUGUAGUGAAUCUUGCUGCACUGAUUUAUAGCUGCUGAGUGUCUGGCCUUUGCGGACUGUUUUAACCUCUAGAAUAUUGAUUUCUCCUUUUAUUUUCCCUGGUGCUGCAAGCAAGCCCCUUGGUCAGGAUCCUGGGUUGUGCAAUAUACAAAAGUGUGAUGGUGCCAUGAUUUGUAAGAAUGUGCAACCAAAAGGGUGAAAAGUUCAGCAGUCUUAGCUGCAGCGCAGCGUAAUCACCGUAAAAGGGGCCACGGCCUCCAAAAAUCACUUGACAGCAGUGUUUGCUGUGUGGAACCCAUUCUGCUGCAGAUGAAGGACCAGAACCAGAGGUGAGUAGCGGGUACAGGGAGCCCAGAGGAGUGGGUCAGAGGACCCAGUACAGGGUCAGGACAUUGAGGGGAAGGACAUGAGGACAUUUUUGGUAGCUGUCCACUCAGGAGAGCAGCUUUUUUGGAGCUGUUCACUCCCUGACAGGUCUCAUUGCCUCUGACCCUUCCUUCCUGGAAUCACUGCUCACCACAUCCAUUCUCUCUUUCUCCCCUUCUCCCUGCUGCUGUCCUCCUUUCAGAGCAGGGCUUCAGCUCAGCCUCAGCUGUCAAGACUCUGAAGGCCCCUGGUAAGAUCAGAAACUCUAGCUGAAAGGAUUGCUUGUAGCAGAGGACAGUCUAUGAAGGCAGAAGAAGUGUGAAGUUUGGGAGCAUAAAAAUAGUUUGCAAAGCACCAGUGGUGCGGAUCUGCCAGCCAGAUCACUUACCAGAAGGCAUCUGAGAGGGUGGUGGAUGCUGAUACCCCAAAGGUGAAUUUUGGUUCUUGAAGGAUAGUUCUUCCUCGUUCUCAGAGGGACAGUGCCAAGCUGCAUCCUUGCUCCUGAGAUACCCCGGAAGAGCCACUGAAGGGAAAGAAGAAGGUGAGGGGCAGACCACCCACUGCACCUUCAUGCCAGCAGCUACAGAAGGUGUUGAAAACUUCUGGAGACCCAAAUGAUACAAGGGCUUAUCAUGUGACAGAGCCACCAGUAUGAAAGAGUCCAGACCAGGAGCUUCAGUCAGUCCCCAGUCCUUCUUGUGACUUCAAAGAUGGCUGGGCCAGUCAAAGGGGUGUCUGUCAGGAUAAAAUAUGCUCCCAGUUUUAGCUAGGCCUGAUACAGAUAUGCCUUUCUUGAGGAGGCUAAUUAAAGUGAUAGAGUAUCUAUCAUCUUCGCCCACACACAUGCUCUGUCAUGAGUGGUUUGCUUCCUAAAAGGAAUAUACACCUGCCUAUGAUACAGCAUUCCAGAGGAGACUGUUGCAGGAGCAAGUAUUACCUUGUGCUGUCCCUCCUAUGGUUAUCUGUGUUAAUGACAGUGGAAUUCAGAGCUAGGAGUCUGCCUGCUGUCUGUACCCUUCUGUAUCUUUAUUUUGUAACUGAUGAAUAAAAAAAGUGAGCUUUUGCUUGA